rnacentral:rRNA from 1 species
UACGGGGGGGGCAAGCGUUGUUCGGAAUUACUGGGCGUAAAGGGCUCGUAGGCGGCCAACUAAGUCGGAUGUGAAAUCCCCAGGCUCAACCUGAGAACUGCAUCCGAUACUGGAUGGCUUGAAUUCGGGAGAGGGAUGCAGAAUUCCAGGUGUAGCGGUGAAAUGCGUAGAUAUCUGGAGGAACACCGGUGGCGAAGGCGGCAUCCUGGACCGGCAUUGACGCUGAGGCGCGAAAGCUAGGGGAGCAAACGGG